rnacentral:tRNA from 1 species
UCCCUGGUGGCUCAGAUGGCAAAGAAUCUGCCUGCAGUGCAGGAGACCCAGGUUUGAUUCCUGGUUCAGGAA